UACGUAGGGGGCAAGCGUUGUCCGGAAUCAUUGGGCGUAAAGAGCGUGUAGGCGGUUCAGUAAGUCUGCUGUGAAAGUCCAGGGCUCAACCCUGGGAUGCCGGUGGAUACUGCUGGACUAGAGUGCGGAAGAGGCGAGUGGAAUUCCCGGUGUAGCGGUGAAAUGCGCAGAUAUCGGGAGGAACACCAAUUGCGAAGGCAGCUCGCUGGGACGUUACUGACGCUGAGACGCGAAAGCGUGGGGAGCAAACAGG
rnacentral:rRNA from 1 species